UACGAAGGGGGCUAGCGUUGCUCGGAAUCACUGGGCGUAAAGCGCACGUAGGCGGAUCGCUAAGUCAGGGGUGAAAUCCUGGAGCUCAACUCCAGAACUGCCUUUGAUACUGGCAAUCUCGAGUCCGGGAGAGGUGAGUGGAACUGCGAGUGUAGAGGUGAAAUUCGUAGAUAUUCGCAAGAACACCAGUGGCGAAGGCGGCUCACUGGCCCGGUACUGACGCUGAGGCACGGAAAGCGUGGGGAGCAAACAGG
rnacentral:rRNA from 1 species